GUGCUUAAUACAUGCAAGUCAACUUGACUUUAGAUAGCAAUAUCGAAAGUAGGGUGGCGCACGGGUGCGUAACGCGUAGGUAAUCUGCCCUGAGGUCUGACAUAACCCGUCGAAAGGCGGGCUAACAUCAGAUGAUAUAUGAUCACGACAUCGUGGAAAUAUCAAAUCUUCGGAGCCUUGGGAUGAGCCUGCGUCUGAUUAGGUAGUUGGCGGAGUAAUAGCCCACCAAGCCUACGAUCAGUAGCUGGUCUGAGAGGAUGAUCAGCCACACUGGAACUGAGACACGGUCCAGACCCCUACGGGAGGCAGCAGUAAGGAAUAUUGCUCAAUGGGGGAAACCCUGAAGCAGCAACGCCGCGUGAAGGAUGAAAUACUUUGUAUGUAAACUUCUGUAAGAUGGGAAAAAUAUUCUCCUCGGGAGAAUUGAUUGUACCAUCAGAGUAAGCCCCGGCUAACUACGUG
rnacentral:rRNA from 1 species